rnacentral:rRNA from 1 species
UACGAAGGGGGCUAGCGUUGCUCGGAAUCACUGGGCGUAAAGCGCACGUAGGCGGCUUUCUAAGUCAGGGGUGAAAUCCUGGAGCUCAACUCCAGAACUGCCUUUGAUACUGGAGAGCUUGAGUCCGGAAGAGGUGAGUGGAACUCCGAGUGUAGAGGUGAAAUUCGUAGAUAUUCGGAAGAACACCAGUGGCGAAGGCGGCUCACUGGUCCGGUACUGACGCUGAGUGA